rnacentral:tRNA from 1 species
AUGGGGUUUUGGCUCAGUGGUAGAGUGCUUGCCUGGCAUGCAUGAGGCACUGGGUUUGAUCCCCAGCACCACAUA